UCCGCUUUGAUGUGUUGUGCAUAAUAUCUUCAGUUUUGUUUUGGUUUAUUUCUGUUUCGUUGAGAUAUAUUAUUUUGCAUUUUAUAUGUUCUUAUUGCAUACAAAGGAUUGAAUGAUGUACAUAUAUUGUCAAAGAUCUUACCUUAAUCAUGACAAGGAGGAAUAUUGCUAAUAAACUUUUUAUUUUGUAACACUUGAAGCUGUGAAAAAUAAAGUCUAUAAAACAUUAA